GACGUAGGGCGCGAGCGUUGCCCGGAUUUAUUGGGCGUAAAGAGCUCGUAGGCGGCUUGUCGCGUCGACUGUGAAAACCCAUGGCUCAACCAUGUGGUCUGCAGUCGAUACGGGCAGGCUAGAAUUCGGUAGGGGAGACUGGAAUUCCUGGUGUAGCGGUGAAAUGCGCAGAUAUCAGGAGGAACACCGGUGGCGAAGGCGGGUCUCUGGGCCGAUAUUGACGCUGGAGGAGCGAAAGCGUGGGGAGCGAACAGG
rnacentral:rRNA from 1 species